GCUGGCGCACCUGCGGGGCGUCCACUCACCUACCCGGUGUCGACGGGCCCCUCCGUGGGUACGAGCGAGGAGGGAAUGCGGAGGGAGACUUGUUUAAGGGCGGAGGGGGCGGACUGUGCGUGAACAGUGAGCCACCCAAACCCGAUGCGGGCCCUCUGGUCCCCGGCAGCGGGCGAGAGGCGCCGUGGGGGGCGCGGGCGGGGGCUGCAGUGAAAGAGCGGCCAGCCUGUUCGUCCUUCCUCGCGUGUAGUGCGAAUCCGGCCAUUGUCAUCUUAAUUCCUUGCACGGCCGCAGGAAAACUGGGGCGGGGGACGAAGGAAAGGCUGCCGGCCGUCCUUGAGUGCUCCCACACCGGGAACAGAGGCCGGAAACAGAUGUCUUGUUUAGGACCCAUUGGUGAACCCACGGUCGUUCUUCAGCAGGAAGACAGUGAAGGCAUUCCUACAAUGGAAGUUUCCGAGCAAACCCCCCUGCUCUAAAACUGCUGAGGUUUCAGCAGUGUUAACAAUGAGGAGAGUUGUCGCAUUUCCUUGUCUCCCGUAGGGCAUAGAAUGCUUGAGCCGAUGAUGGGGAGAGCCUGCCUUGGAGAAGAUAAAGCCGUUGAGCCUGUUAUUCAAGUGGAGUGCUCAGUCUGUGUCUUUCAUUUAUCUGAGUUUCCCUGUCCUCACGUUUGCUUCUGGACACAAAUGCCAUAUAAAGUCAGCGGAGGCCC